CCUACGGGUGGCAGCAGUGAGGAAUAUUGGUCAAUGGACGCAAGUCUGAACCAGCCAUGCCGCGUGCAGGAAGACGGCUCUAUGAGUUGUAAACUGCUUUUGUACGAGGGUAAACGCAGAUACGCGUAUCUGUCUGAAAGUAUCGUACGAAUAAGGAUCGGCUAACUCCGUGCCAGCAGCAGCGGUAAUACGGAGGAUUCAAGCGUUAUCCGGAUUUAUUGGGUUUAAAGGGUGCGUAGGCGGUCGGAUAAGUUAGAGUUGAAAUCCCGAGGCUCAACUUCGGAAUUGCCUCUGAUACUGUUAGGCUAGAGAGUAGUUGCGGUAGGCGGAAUGUAUGGUGUAGCGGUGAAAUGCUUAGAGAUCAUACAGAACACCGAUUGCGAAGGCAGCUUACCAAGCUACGUCUGACGUUGAGGCACGAAAGCGUGGGGAGCAAACAGGAUUAGAUACCCCCGUAGUC
rnacentral:rRNA from 1 species